rnacentral:rRNA from 1 species
UACGUAGGGACCAAGCGUUGUUCGGAUUUACUGGGCGUAAAGGGCGCGUAGGCGGCUUGACAAGUCACUUGUGAAAUCUCUGGGCUUAACCCAGAACGGCCAAGUGAAACUGUCGAGCUAGAGUGUAGAAGGGGCAAUCGGAAUUCUUGGUGUAGCGGUGAAAUGCGUAGAUAUCAAGAGGGACACCUGAGGUGAAGACGGGUUGCUGGUCUAACACUGACGCUGAGGCGCGAAAGCCAGGGGAGCAAACGGG